AAAACUUUACAGAAAUUAUGGAUUAUUUUGAAUCAACUGCUCAAACUUUACCAUCCAACCUUUCAAUUUAUUUGAUCCGAGUUAAUUUAUCUUUACAAUUUUAGUUAGUAUAUUUCAUACAAUUGUCGCAAUUAUAAAUUCAUUAAUAACUAAUUUGCUUAGUUUUUAAAGUCAAAUUUUAAAAUAUUGGGUAGCCAGCUUAAAAUAAUUUAUAGUUCAGAUAAAUUCUGUAUAUAUAUAUAUAUUCAAAGUUCAAAAAACUAAAUUGUUUUUUUUUUUUUGAGAGAGAUAGAAACUUAGCUGUAAAUGUGAAUCAAUUAGAAUUCGAACUUGGGUCUCGGGUACCAACCACCAAAUCCUUUGCCACU
rnacentral:lncRNA from 1 species